ensembl:lncRNA
GCUACUUGGACACUACAGUUUGAUGUCCGAUCACGUGGCCUUCCUUCCCAAUCACUUAUUGAAGUAUAAUAUAGGGGAGGAUCAGCAGAUUAAUGAAAACUCACCGCAGGAAACAAGCACAGCCACGUGACUUAGGUUGCUUUGUAGAAAUCCAUUUAAGUUCAGUGAUCAAAUUUCAGACACGUCAGACUUUCUUAAUUCAAACGUUUGCUGCGUAAUUUGCUUCAUCGUUCAGUAAGGUAAAUAAACUCUUGUGUUAAAAAAAAAAAAACAUAAGGGCUACUUAGAUAUGGCAUGAGUUGAUGGCAAGCCACGUGGCCUUCCCAAUCCCUUCCUGGAGAAUAAUUUUAAGGAAUCGUCAUCCAAGCGAGUGCAAUUUUAGCUCCACGUCGGAAACUUUUUCAGUUUUGUGGUUAAACUGUGAUAUUCGCGUUUAUCUGAAAUAGCAGACCGGAUUCACAUGAAAUACUCGAGCUCGUGAGCAGCGUGUUUUCCACGCGCCCUUUAUCAUCAAAAUGGAGGAUCUCCAUUGAGGAGAACGGAAGGAACCAAGAUUUCCCUUGUGACCUUAGUGUAAACAUGAAGAGAAGAAAAGAAAAGCAAAGCAAGCAGUAGAAGGCCCUCUCUCCAAGCGCCUCCUCAUUGUUGAAGAUGAUCAACUUCUCGGAAACUUCGGCAGGAUUUCGUGCUGUGGCGUCGUAUUUGACAACUAUUAAGAAAAUAAAAUUAAAAGCUGAGAAACCAGUACAGUCCUACCGCCUAAAGUUAUGUUAGAUGGAGAGUGUGACCUCGUGCAAAUCGUUGUGUUGUUUUUAAGUUGCAGGUGGCCUUCAACACAACGUGUUUAAAGGGGGAGGGGAGUUACAAUUAAACACAAGACUUGUUGGUGUAAAAAAAAAAAUUUGAACGACAAAAGUGUAGCCUACUAAACACACAAAGUCUUCAAACAGACUUGUGUCCAAAUAUCCGCAUGUACGCUACUACACUAGUGUGUUUAAAAUAGUGUAGAUAGCAUUCUGACAAGGCUGGUACUGAGCAGCUUCCUGAAAUAUCCAGGAUUUGACUGACUGAAUUUGUCCAAAGUUAGGGAAUGUUGCUGUGAAUCCACUUUGGGUCCCCAGUA